UACGUAUGGUGCAAGCGUUAUCCGGAUUUACUGGGUGUAAAGGGAGCGCAGGCGGCUUUGCAAGUCAGAAGUGAAAUCCAUGGGCUUAACCCAUGAACUGCUUUUGAAACUGUAAGGCUUGAGUGAAGUAGAGGUAGGCGGAAUUCCCGGUGUAGCGGUGAAAUGCGUAGAGAUCGGGAGGAACACCAGUGGCGAAGGCGGCCUACUGGGCUUUAACUGACGCUGAAGCACGAAAGCGUGGGUAGCAAACAGG
rnacentral:rRNA from 1 species